rnacentral:rRNA from 1 species
GCCCUUAGAGUUUGAUCCUGGCUCAGGACGAACGCUGGCGGCGCGCCUAACACAUGCAAGUCGAACGAGCGAGAGAGAGCUUGCUUUCUCGAGCGAGUGGCGAACGGGUGAGUAACGCGUGAGGAACCUGCCUCAAAGAGGGGGACAACAGUUGGAAACGACUGCUAAUACCGCAUAAGCCCACGGGUCGGCAUCGACCAGAGGGAAAAGGAGCAAUCCGCUUUGAGAUGGCCUCGCGUCCGAUUAGCUAGUUGGUGAGGUAACGGCCCACCAAGGCAACGAUCGGUAGCCGGACUGAGAGGUUGAACGGCCACAUUGGGACUGAGACACGGCCCAGACUCCUACGGGAGGCAGCAGUGGGGAAUAUUGCACAAUGGGGGAAACCCUGAUGCAGCGACGCCGCGUGGAGGAAGAAGGUCUUCGGAUUGUAAACUCCUGUUGUUGAGGAAGAUAAUGACGGUACUCAACAAGGAAGGACGGAUAUUACG